AUUUCCGAUUGCGAACACAUUGAUAAAGUGGUUAAACAAAAAUUGUAUAAAUUACUGUGUUUGGAUCUACUGCCUGCCCUGAGGGACAAAACACCUGAUCAAUUCCGUCUUGAAAUGACUUCAAUAAUUCACUCUUUGGCUAACGAUGACUAAGGAUCGAUCAAAAAAAAGUUUGUGUGGUUUCUGGAUGUGCCUUGAAUCAUAAAUGAAAUUAGCUCUCUAAUGCCACCAAUUAUGUCAUGAACAAAAAUAUGAACAGGAUGACAAAUUCGCAUAAAAUGAUUCAACUUGACAAUCUAACUAUAUGAGUCAUUUAGGAGUAACGCUACCUGAACAUAAAGGUAAAGAAUAAUAAUCAAAUAAAAAAACAUCCGCAGAGAAAAACUGAGGAGCUCAUCUCGAUGACUUAAUUGCGAAUUCUACCGAAAUGAGAAAUGUAUACAUAAGCGAAAUACUUGUUCCAAUUUGCUGUCACAAGUUAAUACAAUUUUGCCAUCAAUGUGUCAUAGCCAAAAAUGAAAAUCGGAUGACGAAUCUCGAAUCAAAUAAAAUUAUAUGCGUCAUAUGUCAGUGACGCGAAAAUAAAAGCAAAUUCCAAAUUCAAA